CGCCCAACAGCUAGCCCGCCCUAACAAAACCAACACUCACACAUAAAUAAACCCAAACACCCUAAACCAUAACAACAAACCAUUUUACCCCUUAAGUAUAGGCGAUAGAAAAAGACCUAGGAGCAAUAGAUAAAAGUACCGCAAGGGAACGCUGAAAGAGAAAUGAAACAACCCAGUAAAGCACAAAAAAGCAGAGUUUCCCCCUUGUACCUUUUGCAUCAUGUUUUAGCUAGAGCCCUUCAAGCAAAAAGCAUUGUAGUUUGAUUACCCGAAACCAAGUGAGCUACUCCAAGACAGCCUAAUUAGAGGGCUAACCCGUCUCUGUGGCAAAAGAGUGGGGAGAGCUUUGAGUAGAGGUGAUAAACCUACCGAACCUGGUUAUAGCUGGUUACCUGAGAAACGAAUAGAAGUUCGGCCCCUAAACUUCUUACACCUUAACUGAUUUAACCUCAGCACAGGCACAGAGAAACUCAGGGAGUUAGUCAAAGGGGGUACAGCCCCUUUGAAACAAGACACAACUUUUAUAGGCGGUUAAGGAUCAUAUCCCUUAAGGUAAAAUGUUUACGUGGGCCUAAAAGCAGCCAUCCUGAAAGAAAGCGUUAAAGCUCUAACAUUCCAUAAAACCAUUAAUUUUGACUACAUAGUCCUACACCCCUUUUUUUAUCAGGUCUUCCCACACGUGUGGGAGUGAUUAUGCUAGUAUGAGUAAUAAGAGGGCCCCGACCCUCUCCCCGCAUAAGUGUAACUCGGAAUGGACCACCCACCGAAUAUUAACGCCCCCAACACAAGAGGGCACUGGGCUAAAAAUAAAGAACAAGAAAACCACCCAUGAAUUUUACCGUUAACCCCACACUGGUGCGCCCACAAGGAAAGACUAAAAGAAAAAGAAGGAACUCGGCAAACAUACUUGUAAGCCUCGCCUGUUUACCAAAAACAUCGCCUCCUGUAUUAUAAACUAUAGGAGGUCCCGCCUGCCCUGUGACUAUAUGUUUAACGGCCGCGGUAUUUUGACCGUGCAAAGGUAGCGCAAUCACUUGUCUUUUAAAUGAAGACCCGUAUGAAUGGCACCACGAGGGCUUAACUGUCUCCUUUUUCCAGUCAAUGAAAUUGAUCUCCCCGUGCAGAAGCGGGGAUAAGCACAUAAGACGAGAAGACCCUGUGGAGCUUUAGAUAACAAAACAGACCUUGGUUAAUUACCUCUAAUAAAAGAACAAAACUAAUUGGGCCCUGUUUUAAUGUCUUUGGUUGGGGCGACCGCGGGGAAACACAAAACCCCCAUGUGGAUUAGGAGCACCUUUCCUACAACCAAGAGCUACAGCUCUAAGUACCAGAAAUUCUGACCAAAAAGAUCCGGUGAAUACCGAUCAACGAAACGAGUUACCCCAGGGAUAACAGCGCAAUCCUCUUCUAGAGCCCAUAUCGACAAGGGGGUUUACGACCUCGAUGUUGGAUCAGGACAUCCUAAUGGUGCAGCCGCUAUUAAGGGUUCGUUUGUUCAACGAUUAAAGUCCUACGUGAUCUGAGUUCAGACCGGAGUAAUCCAGGUCAGUUUCUAUCUAUGAAGUGAUCUCCCCUAGUACGAAAGGACCGGAGAGAAGAGGCCCAUGCUGUAAGUAUGCCUCCCCCUCACCCAGUGAAACCAACUAAAGUGGGCAAAAGGGCAUAUCCCCUUUGUCUGAGAUAAUGGCAU
rnacentral:rRNA from 1 species